GGUCAUGUGGCUUAGUGGUUUGAGUGUUGUAUUAUGACUCUGGAAACCAGGGUUUGAUUCCCAGCUUGACCA